AGUGAACGCUGGCGGUAGGCCUAACACAUGCCAGUCGAACGGCAGCACAGUAAGAGCUUGCUCUUACGGGUGGCGAGUGGCGGACGGGUGAGGAAUACAUCGGAAUCUACUUUUUCGUGGGGGAUAACGUAGGGAAACUUACGCUAAUACCGCAUACGACCUACGGGUGAAAGCAGGGGAUCUUCGGACCUUGCGCGAUUGAAUGAGCCGAUGUCGGAUUAGCUAGUUGGCGGGGUAAAGGCCCACCAAGGCGACGAUCCGUAGCUGGUCUGAGAGGAUGAUUAGCCACACUGGAACUGAGACACGGUCCAGACUCCUACGGGAGGCAGCAGUGGGGAAUAUUGGACAAUGGGCGCAAGCCUGAUCCAGCCAUACCGCGUGGGUGAAGAAGGCCUUCGGGUUGUAAAGCCCUUUUGUUGGGAAAGAAAAGCAGCAGGUUAAUACCCCGCUGUUCUGACGGUACCCAAAGAAUAAGCAUCGGCUAACUUCGUG
rnacentral:rRNA from 1 species